CAUGCAAGUCGAACGAGUUCUGAUUAUUGAAAGGUGCUUGCAUCUUGAUUUAAUUUUGAACGAGUGGCGGACGGGUGAGUAACACGUGGGUAACCUGCCCUUAAGUGGGGGAUAACAUUUGGAAACAGAUGCUAAUACCGCAUAAAUCCAAGAACCGCAUGGUUCUUGGCUGAAAGAUGGCGUAAGCUAUCGCUUUUGGAUGGACCCGCGGCGUAUUAGCUAGUUGGUGAGGUAACGGCUCACCAAGGCAAUGAUACGUAGCCGAACUGAGAGGUUGAUCGGCCACAUUGGGACUGAGACACGGCCCAAACUCCUACGGGAGGCAGCAGUAGGGAAUCUUCCACAAUGGACGCAAGUCUGAUGGAGCAACGCCGCGUGAGUGAAGAAGGCUUUCGGGUCGUAAAACUCUGUUGUUGGAGAAGAAUGGUCGGCAGAGUAACUGUUGUCGGCGUGACGGUAUCCAACCAGAAAGCCACGGCUAACUACGUGCCAGCAGCCGCGGUAAUACGUAGGUGGCAAGCGUUAUCCGGAUUUAUUGGGCGUAAAGCGAGCGCAGGCGGUUUUUUAAGUCUGAUGUGAAAGCCCUCGGCUUAACCGAGGAAGUGCAUCGGAAACUGGGAAACUUGAGUGCAGAAGAGGACAGUGGAACUCCAUGUGUAGCGGUGAAAUGCGUAGAUAUAUGGAAGAACACCAGUGGCGAAGGCGGCUGUCUGGUCUGUAACUGACGCUGAGGCUCGAAAGCAUGGGUAGCGAACAGGAUUAGAUACCCUGGUAGUCCAUGCCGUAAACGAUGAAUGCUAGGUGUUGGAGGGUUUCCGCCCUUCAGUGCCGCAGCUAACGCAUUAAGCAUUCCGCCUGGGGAGUACGACCGCAAGGUUGAAACUCAAAGGAAUUGACGGGGGCCCGCACAAGCGGUGGAGCAUGUGGUUUAAUUCGAAGCAACGCGAAGAACCUUACCAGGUCUUGACAUCUUUUGAUCACCUGAGAGAUCAGGUUUCCCCUUCGGGGGCAAAAUGACAGGUGGUGCAUGGUUGUCGUCAGCUCGUGUCGUGAGAUGUUGGGUUAAGUCCCGCAACGAGCGCAACCCUUAUGACUAGUUGCCAGCAUUUAGUUGGGCACUCUAGUAAGACUGCCGGUGACAAACCGGAGGAAGGUGGGGAUGACGUCAAAUCAUCAUGCCCCUUAUGACCUGGGCUACACACGUGCUACAAUGGAUGGUACAACGAGUUGCGAGACCGCGAGGUCAAGCUAAUCUCUUAAAGCCAUUCUCAGUUCGGACUGUAGGCUGCAACUCGCCUACACGAAGUCGGAAUCGCUAGUAAUCGCGGAUCAGCACGCCGCGGUGAAUACGUUCCCGGGCCUUGUACACACCGCCCGUCACACCAUGAGAGUUUGUAACACCCGAAGCCGGUGGCGUAACCCUUUUAGGGAGCGAGC
rnacentral:rRNA from 1 species